CUGUAGCUGCUGGCCCACACCACAGCCACAGCAACACAGGAUCCAAGCCACAUCUGCGACCUACACCACAGCUCAUGGCCACCCUGGAUCCCCAACCCACUGAGUGAGGCCAGGGAUCGAACCCACAUCCUCAUGGAUACUAGUUGUAUUUGUUUCCACUGAGCCACAAUGGGAACUCCUCCCCAUGACUUGUAGCUCCUGCCAUUAAGGGUCAUGUGUGGUUCCCUCCCUUAUGGAAUAGACAAGGCUGUAUAACCAAUAGGAUAGUGGAAAUGACAUUAUGUGACUCCCAGCUUGGGUCCUAAAGACAGCACAGCUUCCUUCUUGCUGUCUCUGGAGUCCCUGGCUCUGGGGGAAGCUGCUGCCAUGUUGUGAGGUCACUCAAGCAGCCUUUAGCAAGGAGGCUGUUGGCACUAACAUGCAGACAAGCGAGUGAGCUUGUAUGGUCAAGAAGCAUAUCAUGCAGCACCAGGUGCCCACAGUCCCAGCAAAUCUCUGAUGCAGUCUUACAAGUGAUGGGGAGCCAAUAUCACCCAGGCAAGCCACUGCCAGAUUUCUGACCUUCUGAACAUUCAUUGAUUUAAACUGCUAAGGUUUGGGGUAAUUUGUUUUGCAGCCAUGACUAUCUAACACACGUUAUUAGCUUGCACUGUGUCUCAUUACCCAGCCCUAGGACAUAUGGAUUUUUUUUUUCAACGUAUCAUGACACAGUUCUUCCAAAUGGAGGGGUCCUGGAGAUGAAUCUCACCCCAUCAAAUUCUCAUUAAAACCCUUUCUCCCUGACACGGUGGUUUGGUUUCUGUCUGUUUCCCUGGAGGAGAGAGUCAGCCCUGAAGUCCUAGAAACAAGGUGGAGCAGGUAGUGGGUUCUUAAGGCCACUGAGUCAUUCAUUAACCCAUGCUCUCUCUUGAUCUCUUUUAUUUUUUAUUAUUAUUGUUUUUAUUUUUAGGACUACACCCUCGGCACAUGGAAGUUCCCAGACUAGGUGUCCAAUCAGAGCUGCGGCUGCCAGCCUAUGCCACAGCUCACAGCAACACUGGAUCCUUAAUGCACUGAACGAGACCAGGGAUCAAACCUGAGUCCUCAUGGUUACUAGUCAGAUUCAUCACUGCUGAGCCACAGUGGGAACUCCUCUUUCUCUUUUUUUGAACCAUAAUUAUUUUCAAAUAUCUUAAGGAGAACAGUAAAGUUUUGCAUAUUCCUUGAGGCUUUUUAAAAACUAGGAGGAUUGAGAUUUUGUUUAUUAUUUUUGGAGAGAAAUACAAUGUGGGAAGGCUUCUCAUUUGUAGGUGCCUGAGCUCGGCCCCCAGGGCCCCUCCAGGCUCAGUGUCUGUCCUCUCCAUGGUAAAUCACAGGUGACAGUCACAUCUGGGGAGAACAGCCCAUGGGAACACAGAGAUUCACACUGAGAGCAGUAAGGGGAGCUUGGGACAGCCUCCAGAGCAGCAGCGGGUGACAGGGCAAGGGACUUGUCCCCUUCAGCACAGAGGGAGCCCAGAAUCACCCUGAAGAGUGGAAAUGGAUGUUUCCCUUUGGGGCCAUGGAGAUUUGGGACAACUUGAAAUAUCAGUGGGAUAUCAAGCUUCAUCUGGCGCCUUGAUAGAUAGUCUUGGGCUUACAUUUUCCUAAAAUGGUGGGGAAAAAAGAAGAGGCAAAAGGAAAGCAAGGAUCUCAUCUUCCAGGACCUCGGUCUACUCACUGGGGAGUCAAGAACUCCACUUCCUCCAGGGUCCGUGUUUUCUCUACCGGCUGUGGCACUCCCUCACGUUUUUUGCCGUUGUUGUUUGUUUUUUUCUUUCUCUUUUUUUUUGUCUUUUGUCUUUUUAGGGCCACACACGUGGCACAUGUAAGUUUCCAGGCUAGGGGUUGAAUCGGAGCUACACCUGCCAGCCUCCACCACAGCCGCAGCCACAGCAACUUGGGAUCUGAGCCACAUCUGUGACCUACACCACAGCUCGCGGCAACACUGGAUCUUUAACCUACUGAGCGAGGCCAGGGAUCGGACCCACGUCCUCAUGGAUACUAGUUGGUUUUGUGAACCGCUGAGCCAUGACGGGAACUCCUCCCUCACCGUUCUAAGGCUGAAAUUCCCUGAUGUGUCUUGAGAGAUGGACACAAGGUUCAAAUAGGGCUGGAUGGAGACCGAGACCUCUGAUAACGGCGCUUCCCUGUAGAUAUGGGGUUAGAGUGUUCAUGGGAUGAAAGAGAGGCAGGGCCAAGUUCACAGCCAAAGGCAAUGCCACCCAGAAGUGUCCCCAAGGAGCCUCCACGUCCAGUUCAAGAUGACCACCUUCAUAGAGGGCUACUGAUGUCCUCAUUUCAACAGCUCUUUCUGCAUCCACCCCAAGAAGAGCUCGCUACUUGGUGAAGGUCCCGUGGAUAACCUUACAAGGUCACUCCAGCUGUCGUUUUUUGUGUAUGUUUGUUUGCUUGUUGUUUUUGUUUUCUUUUUAUGGCUAUACCUGUAGCAUAUGGAAGUUCCCAGGCUAGGGCCAGGAGACAUUCUGUCCAUAUUACAGGUGAUACAAUUGAGGCUGGCUUGUGUCAGUUCCCUGUGUUACCGUAUCCGAUCUUAGCACCUUGAAACUCUUCCAUCACUAAUGAGGAGACACAGAAAGCUUUGAGCAACCUCAGCUUUCCACUGAGCUGCUGAGCCCAUACCGAGGUCGAAGCCUGGAAGUCCACCCACAUCUGCCACUCAUAGGCACAGAUGUUGGAACAGAGUUCAGUCCUGCUCUUUCCCGACCUUAAGAGGCUUAGCGCAUCUCUGAAGCUGGAACAGGAGCUGGGAGGCACAGCUGAUUGGAAACGAGCUCCUCAGAACCACAGCACCCACAGCCGCACUUUGAGUUCUGUACUUCAAAGGGUAGGCUGGGGAGUUCCUGUUGUGGCUCAGUGAUUCAAAUCCAAUUAGUAUCCAUGAGGAUGUGGGUUCGAUCCCUAGCCUCGCUCAGUGGGUUAAGGAUCUGGCGUUGCUGGGGCUGUGGUAUAGGCCAGCAGCUAUAAGCUCCGAUUUGACCCCUAGCCUGGGAACUUCCAUCUGCUGCAGGUGUGGCCCCAGAAAGCAAAAAGAAAAAGGGUAGUUUGGGAGCAGAGCCAUAAGUGGAGCUGGGAGGACUGGCCAGCACAAAGGCCUUUGGGAACACCAGGCUUCUGGGUGACACUGUCACAGACAGAGCAAAGCUGGCUGACGAAUUAGCUCCCACCAGCUAUAAGGCUGGCCCCAGAAAGUCCCUGGUCAAUUUCCUCAGGUUGGUAAAAAGAAUCACAGUUAGGCCUCAAGAGACCUCUUGGCUCUCAAGAUGCUGAGUUUGUUCCGCUCCUUCAGGCCAAGUUCACGUGGGCAAUCAAGUCAUGCAGAUCCUUAAAGGGGAAAAGGCACCUGGUUUGGCAUGCAUCUGGUUCCCCUUGCCUCCGAGUUCUGGCCUUCACAGGAAGGUCUGCCCUCAGGAAUCCCGUCAUUCAAUAAACCAGCAUCGACUGAACAACUACUGUAGCCAUCAACGCAGUUAUGGUCACAGAUGAACGCAAGUAGCAGUUAGUGAACAGGAGGAAGGUCUCUUUCUUGUCAGGAAGGGUCUGUGAGGGUCCCAUCCUCUCUGGGCUCCAAACCUCCCAGGGUGGCUCAGGGACCUAGGCUCCCUUUAACGUGUGGGACCACACGUCAACAUGUGGCUUCCUGGUCACCAAGUUGGGAUCAGAGGGAUUAUGAAGAAUUCACGACAUUUGUCGUUGACCCCCUCUCUUGGUGGUGGUUUUUUUUUGGGGGGGGGGUGCCGCACUAGAGUCAUAUGGAAGUUCCCGGGCUCGGGGUGGAAUCGGAGCUACAGCUGCCGGUCUACACCACAGCCACAGCAACACCAGAUGUGAGUCACAUCUGCGACCUACACCACAGCUCAUGGCAAAUGCUGGAUCCUUAACCCACUGAGCGAGGGUGGGGAUGGAACACACAUGCUCAUGGAUACCAGUCCGGCUCAUUACCUGCUGAGCCACAAUGGGAACUCCUCGACCGCCCCCCUUUGGAGUAACACCAGUCAUUACUUUUCACACUUAUUGCCAGAACUCAUCAUGUGAACUUCCAAGUGAACUGCAAACAGGCUGGGAAAAGUACUGAGCAUGACUGUCUCAGCCCCCACUCCCUCAUGUCCAAAAGCCCACAAGUACUUGGGGGCUCAAGAUAAAGAAGGGAGCCCCCUUCCUUUCCUGGGGAGAUGAAAAAGCCAGGGAAAUAUCUUUGUCAGUAGAUGCUGGACGUACUGAUUUUAUGGAACACAGUUGGCAGGAUUCCAGCUAUAGUGAACCCCUCCACCCAGUGGGGUUGGUCUGGGAAGAAGAGGAAUAUUUAAUUCUAACCAUGCUUCACUCACAGGGGGCUGGACCUUGUGGGUAAGCCAGCCAAGUCUCUAUAGAAAUAGAAGAGAAGAGGUAUUGUCUUCUAUGCCCUCUUGAAGUCAGGAUUUGGUUGCAACUGACUAUUUUUAUCUUCCCUGAGGUGACCAAAUCUGAAGACUUGUCUAUUGGCCCAGGGGAAGAUGCUGGGGUCACAACAAUAUGGUGGUGCAGCUAGAUUAUAUAUAUAGACAUAUAUAUAAUAUAUAUAUGUAUGUAUAAAAUCCUCUGGAAACAAUUAAGUUUAUUUCAUGGUUCCCACUAAGUGGCCAAUUUAAUUUAUUGGACUCUGCCUUCCACUCACGUUGUGUAAGCUAUUCAUUGUCCGUCUGCCUGCCCAUCAAUCCUUCCAAAAAUCUAUUUAUUCUUCCAUCCAUCCAUCCAGUCAUCCAUCCAUCCAUUCAGGCAUUCAUCCAAUCAUCCAUCUAUCCAUCCAUCAUCCAUCCAUCCAAACAUCUAUCCAUUUAAGCACUCAUCAAGUCAUCUAAUCAUCCUCUAUCUGUCCAUCAUCCAUCCGUCCAAACAUAUAUCCAUCCAAACAUCCAUCCAUCCAAGCAUCUAUUCAUCCAUCCAUCCGCUCAUCCAUCCAAAUAUACAUUCAUCUGUUCAAGCACUUAUCCAAGCAUCUAAUCAUCUUCUAUCUAUCCAUCCAUCAUCCAUCCAAACAUCUUAUCAUCCAUCCAUCCAUCCACUCAUCCAUUCAAAUAUACACCCAUCCAUUCAAGCACUCAUUCAAGCAUCAAAUCAUCCUCCAUCCAUCCAUCCAUCCAUCCAUCCAUCCAUCCAUCCAUUUAUCAAAACAAAUACUUGUUGACUGCUGACUCUUGCUGGACAUGGCUCUAGUCAAGGGGUAUAUAGCAGAGGACAACUAAGACUAGAUCCUUACUCUUCUGGGACUUAUAGUCUACUAGACAAUCAACAAGAAAGGAAAUAUUUAGAAAGGACCACACCAGAGUUCUCUAGGAGCUAUGACGACUAUGAGAUGGAAGGAUAAGAGAAGGAGGGACUUGAAUGGGAGGGGUGUGAGGCUACUCUAAGGUGUUCAGAUAGCCUCCCUGAGGAAGGGAGAUAUGAGUUAAGACCUGAGUCAUGAGGGGGAGUCAAACCAGGGACAAUAUGGGAGAAUAGGACUCAAGAAAUGACAGACAAAGAGGGCAAAACUUGGAGGUGGGAAUGGAUUUGUUUUGUUAGAAGAACAAACAGAAGGGAACCAGUGAGGUUGGAGUUAGUGAGCAAGAAGGGCUGCAGCAGGAACUGAGGGUGGAGUACAGGGCAGAUCUGUAUCACACUGGGCCUAUAAGACCAUGGUCCUCAGUUCAGAUUUCACUCUAGGAUUUAUGGGCAUCUACUGGAGGGUUUUAAGUCCAGGAAUGACAUGAUUUGAAUUAUGUUUUUAAAAGGUCGCCC
rnacentral:lncRNA from 1 species